GAAAAGAAAAUCACAAGUUGGUCGAGUUCAGCAUUCUGCCUUCUCAGAACCUUAAGAGUUGUGGGGAGAUCGGGUUGGGGCCCAAGGUCUUCCUGUGAAGACUCUGAGGCAGCCUCAGCCGGCCCGCCCAGUGAAUUCACUCACUUUAUCUAAGACUCCAUCUGAAGACGGGGCUGCCUCCAUGCGCAAAGUGAGUUUAGGAACCACUGCACUGGACAAUUUAAAACUCAGAUUGUUUUGGUAGAUCACCCAUAGCCAACGCAUCCUGGGAUGAAUUCCAUCGAAACUGCAGAGCUACCAAGUAUAUUGCUCAUGAAAGGGACACACUGGAAACACAGCCUGCGCACGGCCUAUGUAAUCAGGUGUCCAGAGUGAGAAAGGAAGUGUGGAGGGAGGAAAUCAGCAGGCACGCGGAGGGGCAGCUGCUUCAUCCACAGCAGCGACACUUCCAGCCCGCGGGCCUGACGGGGACACCUGCACUCGAACCCGCUGCAGUGGACACCAAUUCUCCUUCCUCUCCGAGUCCAUCUUUAAGAUGGUAACAGAGCUCUGAAUUGUCACAAUUUUAUCAUCAGAUGAUUUCAUGUCAACAUGGACCUAGAAAUACUGUCUCAAGAGAAACCUCCUCCAGAACUUCAUUCAAGAGUAUCACAAUCUGCACCCUGGCUCCUAGAGCCUAGAUAAAGGACUUCCCUUCUA